UUAACUCCAGCUCAUUUUCCUGUUCCCCUUGUUUAGGUGUUCAGAGGAAGUUCUAUAGCAGACGCUUGCAAUCUUUUUCUUUCUCAGUCCCCCCACCAACAUGCUAUAAAAAGUCCACAGCCCACCUGUGCCCCAACAACUGUUUUUCUGCAUAUCCAAUAGAUUAAAAACUGUAUUAAACUGAUAGUUCUACAGUUAAAUACACAUUGAAAAAAGGAUAAGAUAGGACUAAAAUUAAAAAAUGAAUAUUAUGUUCAAGUAUUAAUAUGGCCAAGCCCUGCCGCCCAGGGCAGAAGCCCAAGCCCAAGCCCUGCCACCUGGGGCUAAAGCUGAAGCCUGAGCCUCACUGCACAGCACCCCUGUGGCAUGGGGCCCCAGGCAGUUGCCCUGCUUGCAACCCCAUAAUGCUGGCCCUGCUGAAGCCAGUAGGUUUCAGCAUAUCAUGCAGGAAAAUGAACACGUGUUCUGGUAAUAAAGAAAAGAAAAAGCAAUGUGUCCAAAUAGCAUGAGGUGAAACAGCUUUUAUUUUUUGCAUGCGCUCUGGUUUAUUUUGGCAGACCCCUCCUGAAAUCCAGUUGAGAACCACGGUUCUAUAGGACUGGGUGCUUCAGAGACAAAAGGAGAAAAAUGCUUUUGGGAAGGGCCCCGUUAUUGGUAGCUGCGAGAGCUGCUUUUGACUGAAGAAAUGAAAGAUCUUGGACAUUCUAAUGCUACAGCAUAGCGAGCUCAGAGGAGACCGUGCAGAUUUCAUCAGCAGAGGUGACCAUGGAGUCCCAGAAUCACAAAAGAGCUGCAGCAUGGACUGAACGGGAGGUACUGGAUCUGAUCACUUUACGGGGAGAGGAAUCUGUGCUAUCAGAACUCCACUCCACCCCAGAGGACUGCCAAAGCAACAGAAAGCUGGCAUUCAAUAAGUUCUGAAGUGCAGUGUGGCCUUGUCCUUCCCUCCUCCCCUCCUCCACCACCCCACCUGGUGCUUCCCUCUUCCCCCACCGCUCCUGGAUUACCUUGGCAGUUAUCCCCCCAUUGGUGUGGUGAAUUAAUAAAGAAUGCAUGAAU